ensembl:lncRNA
GGAAACAGGAAGUAUCUCUCUUCCCCUCCGCUCCUGCUCCAGCGGCACAAUGUGAUCCACUGGCAAGGAGGGACGCCAAUAAGACAUCUGAUAGAUAAGUCUUAUAAAAUAUAUAGAUUUAUGAUAAUUAAGAUUGAGCUAGCAGAUGAGAAUCCUAGUCAUUGGCCAAGCAGCAUUGUACCUAAUACAAGUUUCUGUGUAUUAAUUUGGGCCUAACUCGGGCAGGUGGCUGGGUAAAGCUCACACAUGGCGGUGGGCCUCAGGCGGCUUUUGGCGGAAAGACUUAAUGUAACAUAAUUCUUUUAGUUUUAUUUAAAACAAAUACAUAGUUUAUAAAAUUUUUAUUGAAAUGCUGAGGAUAAUACCUAAGUCUUCAUGCAUGUUUUGACUAUUUAAUAAUACAGCAGUUAAUAUGACUUAGCAAAUACGAUUUAUGUUCUCCCCAAAAUUUGAACAUUCUGUAAUUUUUCCCCAAAUAUGUUUCAGAGAAAAAUUUGCAUAGAUAUAUUUGCUGGUUGGUAUGCAAAUUUUUAUUUCCACUUUGAAUUGGUCUAUGAUCUUUUCACUUUUGUCUACCAUUAGUAUUUUCCAUCUAUAUUCAAAGCCAUUGGAAUAUAACUAGAACACACCAUAAAGUCAAGAUCUGUUGCAAAUUAAAUUUCACUUAAUAUUGGUAAUAUCAGCAUAAAAAUAGGGGUGACUCAGGAAUUGGAGUUACUCCUUAACUCUUAGUGAAUAUGCUGUAUCUAUCUUUCUGGUUUAGUUUUCAAUUUUCUGAUCUACUAAUUUUAAUAAGUUUAUUCAUUUACAAGAGCUGCUGUAAGAAAUUACCAGAGCAUCGUGGAUUAAAACCAUUCCUGAGUCUGAAAGCCAGAAUCAGGAGUUGGCAGGAUUUGUUGCUUCUUGAUUUUCUGUCAGACAACCUAUUAUCUAACUUCUGGCAGCUGCAGGCCAUCUAGGGAAGCCUCCACCUCCAUCUUCAUCUGAUUUGCUCCACAUUUCUUGCUAAAAGCCACAAGAUCAUGCAACAAUAUACAGCUAUCAUAUUGUUAUGCCCAGUUUGUGGGACACCAAAAAGUCCACCACCAAAGAGACAAUUCAUCAAAUGGAAAAACAAAAGUUUCAUUUAUUGGCAAGCUACAGCCUGGAUUCUGCUGGCUCAGGAGCAAAUGGAAUACAGCUUACAGAGAGACUCUGAAAAAUGUUCCUAUGGCUGCAUCACCUGUUACAUCACCUGUUACCUGUACUUGAGCAUAAAUAGUGAAAACUCAAGUGAUACUACGUAGCAUCAAAGGCUUCUCCAAUUUAACAGAACGAAUUUGAUAUAUUAUUUAGUAAUGCAAUUAAUUUAAAGACAAUAAAUAUGAGAGUAUCAGUGUGAGUUUAUGGCUCAUGAAGCAGAUUCAUUUUCUUGAAAAUAUAUGUGUAUAUAUACUUAAAAAUGGAAUUGGUUCAGCUAUACAUUAAAAUCAAAUAACACAGUGCCUCUGGCUCUCUGAACUUUAGUCAUCUUGCCUUCUGUGAAAAGAUAAUUGAAUUUCUUAUCUAAAUAUUGGCUAUUCCUAGCCAACUAAUUGAAAGUCAAAUUUUUUUCUGGAUAAACUUUUAAAUUAUCAGGUUGGAUCCUAGGCUAAUGAUUCAAAGAAACACUAUAAAUUAUCUAUUAAGACAAUAUUCAGAUGAUCUUGAUUACUUUCACACUGGGAAUGUGAAAAUCUAUACUGUAAAAUCAAGAAAUAGAUGGCCAACUAGUAUUUAAAUCAAAAUUGUCUACUUCCUGACAAAGAGCUGAGUUUCACUAGGUUCGUGCUUUGUGUCACAGGAUAGUUAACUUUGAGUAAUUUAUACCCUGAAAUUGUUAUUUAGCAAUCUUAAAUAAGAUGAUUUGGAUUUUAUAACUUUCAAUGGGCAUUUAAACUUCCAGAUGGGGAAAUAGAUGAAGACCCCAAAAUAAGAAUAAGCAAAGGCUGAUAUCCAGAGUUUGUUUCAUGCUGACAGUCAGCAAGUGUUACCUGACAAAGAUCCAAAUCUUUCAGGGACUAUAAAAAUUUAGAAUUAAAAGAGGGACAGGCAGGCUGGGCAUGAUGGUACUUGCUCUUACUCUCAGCACCAGGAGACCAGAGGUAUGCAGAUCUUUGCAAUUUCGAGGCUAUUCUGUUCUACACAGCAAACUCCAUGCUGUCAACAAGGUCUAUGUAUGGAUACCAUGUCUCAAGACAAUGACAGCAACAGCAAAACAAUAAGAGUUAAGGAACAGGCUCAGGACAGUGUUCAGUGGGUAAAGUACUUGCUACAUAAGUACCAGUUCUGAAUUCCAGCAUCCACAAGAAACCUGUGUGGACUUAGAUGUGUGUAAUCUCAAGACAGAGACAGGAAGAUCUUCAGAACUUCCUGGCCAGCUAUUCUUGCCUAACUAGCCAUCUCCAUGUUCAGUGGGAGACCAUGUUUCCAAAUGCAAGGUAGAGAGAAUCAGAAUGAGAUAGAAAGUGUGAGGACUGGCUAGCUAGAAGCCGGAACCCAGUAUAACUGAUUAUUGGGAAGCAUGUUUCACUUCUUUCAUUGGUUUUAAACUACAAGCAAGGUACAG